AUGAAAGAUGGAUAACACGACUUGCAAGAGUGUUUGAGGCAAGUAAAUGAAAGACGAUGAUAUUAAGUGAUGCGACUUAAACGAGUGAAUAAGUACGCUUAAUGGCAUAUUUUAAUUAUUUGGCUGAGUGAAACGAGUAAGGGAUACUAGCGAGUGAAACAAGAACAAAAAAGUUAGUGACUUAAGUCACUGAUACGCUUUAGUAACACACAUAUGUUGAGAGAUUCGUGAUUGCGACGCGACUAGAUAAAAGAAACAUGUGGGCAAGGAUUGCAGACAUAACAUCAGACAUGUGAAUACUUCAAACAAAAUGACUCGAACCAAGCGAAACAAGAAGAAACAUACAACAAGGAGAGAGAGCAAACAGGCGCAAAUUGCUAAAGAUGCAGUAUACAAGAUAACAAAUGAUGAAGAAAUUUUCACUAACGCUCUCAAUUGUUCUCGAUAAAUAUGCCAUCAGUGAACAUUUAAUAAACUUUCGAAGAAAGCAAUAUAAAUAUGCUGAACUGGAACAAUCUUAUAUACACCAAAUGCUUGGAUACAAAAGACGCAUUUAUUACAGGGCUUAACACUAACUUUUUUUUCAACUAGCCCAUUUUUGGCUAAUAAAUGCAGAACCUACUAGCCCUGACCAAUCUUUCAUGUGCCCUGACCCAAGUAUAACAAAACCUUUAUAUUUAUCAUUCAACUUGUAUUUCCUUGUGCGUGGAGAUGCGCAAUUAUAAUUCAAUCAUUAAGACAUCUAUUUGUAUCUUCACGCCAUUUCGGGAGAAAUUUCCUUGUUGUUUUUUUCCUCAUACUUUCUCUUACUUUCCUCCUUCCCUUUUCUUUUCAUUCGCGGAACCCCCAUCCCCACCCGUAAAGUCAAACUUAAACAACGACAUGAAACGUUAAAACAUUUUUUACAUAGAUUGCCGCGGUUGCCGUCUGACAACAAAUGUCAAAUCGAGGGAACAACCACCAAAGGAAUGAAUUCCGACACUGAUGAAUUAUGGUGCUUUAAAAUGUUUGUUUUAGUACUGGAUUCCGAAGCGCCGACAGUGUCGCUUAACAACAGUGAGAGUGUUGUGAUCGUUGUGAGCACCCUGAAUUGUGCUCCUCAGUACUGUCAACUAACUUUGACUGAACCAGUCAAACAAGAGAAGAAUUUUUGCAAUUACAGUUUUCAAUGUUGGCAAAGUGAACAUUUUCAACGUAAUGCUCUUGUAUCAGAUUUUUUUGAUCACCUCAAAAACGAAAAUGAAACACUAACUGGUAAUAUUAACAACAACAUAUUACACAAGGUUCUACGACAGAAGGAGGAUGUUAUAAAACAAAGUAAAUGGCAUGGACCGGCGCAACUUUGUGGAAAUAAAGAUAAUGUUUACGCAUUUUAUUGUAAAAGUCUACCGCCAGAGUGUAAUUUUAUUUUUGAAUGGCCUCGCCCCGAUCACUGGCCUUCCGAAAAGACGUCGAAAAAAGCCAGGAAAUAUGGAGCCUUUAUUGUUCCACAAGGACCACACAUAAGUACAAACAUUUCCAAGUACGAUGAUUCUUAUUAUUAUUGGCGAAUUUCCACCAAUUUAACAGAACGGGAACUUAUGUUCAGUUUGGGAACAGUAAUCUAAAAGCAUGUUCUUGCAAAAAUGAUCAGAAAUGAGAAGUUCGUGCAGAAUGACGUCGAGAAGAUAAGCACAUUUCAUGUCAAGACAGCCGUGUUUUUUUGCGGUCGAAAACACACCACCCGAUGUGUGGAGAGAGGACAAUCUUGCCAAUUGUGUUAAGUACAUACUUUUUAUGUUGAGACGUUUCUUUAAUUGUCGUUUUUUUCCCACAUUUUACAACAGACAAGGUGAACCUUUUUGAUGGGAAAAUUUAAAGACACGAGUUCCCGCAAAUGCUUAAUAAACUCUCAACAAUGUUGAAGUCAAUUCCUGGAACAAUCGAGGAAAUAAAAAUGGAUAAUGUCGGGUCAAAACUUAAAGAUUAUAGGAAGAAAUCGAUACAUGAAACGAGCUUUCAUCCUCUAAAAAUGUACGCAUUGUCCGACUAUAUGGCUUCACAGUUUUGUUGUUUUCUUCCUCUGUUUGAUGGAUUUAAACUUAAUGACAGGAAUGUAAUUCUUAAACAAAUUCUUUUUGAAAAACAGUAUAUGGCACUGCAACACCACUUUUGACGCACACUGGAAAAAUCUCGUAAACGUAAAGAAAAAUUUAGCAACGCUUUGCACAGUGUUAUCUCAGUUUUGGCAAGCUUAGGUGCUUCAGCGUAUUUAGAUCGGGACGCAGUUAACGUUAAACUGCCUGAAAAAUUAGCUCCACUCGAUAAUUUCAUAGUUUUCCGGGCAGGCAAGGCAGGCAUUGAUGGAGCAAGAGAAUUGUUUCGUGAGUCAUUACAAUCAAAUAUGGUUUCAUGCUAUAUGUGAUAUGCUUCAUUCCUUUACUGCGAUAAUGAGCUUGAUGCAGCGUGUGAACUAUUAGAGCAGGUGGAAGAUAAAAUAAAGGAACUGACCAACAAUGUUUCGAACUAUUUCGAUUCACCAUUGGAUUCUUUGAUAUUAGAAAGGGCAGCCGAGCAACCGUACGCAGAGUCUUUCAAACAAAUACACUCUAUAUUUAUGACAUUUAGAGCUGCAGGGACAAUGUGUGUUCCAAUAUUCCUGCGAUAUGAAUUUAACCGACGGUACAUCGGCACAACAACUUCAUCGGCCCUUCCACGGCCAUUUUACACACACUUUGACUGCUUCUCUACAAACAUCGAGCCGUGCCUCUACUAUCUUCAAUACCUUACAUACAGGAAAAUGUACCAAAACACUAGAACAAACAUAUUCGCUCUAAAGGUUAAGAAAGCGUUUAAUGCGAUCAAUUCCUACAUAGAAAUGGCACAAGGAAAACAAAGCAACAUGCGAUUUCAAAAGCAUUUUGAUACAUCUUUGAAUAUGCUUGGACAUUGCUUGGAAAUGGAGGGGACAUCGGUUUUGACCUGGACGACUUAUGAAACCUCUUUACAUUGGAAACCUAAACAAAAUGCGGCCAUCCUGCAUAUGAUACGACUUCUUUGUUCAAAGUCUGCGGACGAUGAGACAUUUUUUUACUCAACAUUCAACGUGAAUCGAAAUCUUCUCCCUUUAAGCUGUUAUGAGGCAUCUAUUAGGAUUAACACUUUUUUGUUAAGGUAAUUCAAGGUAAUAAAUAUUCCUCAUACCUCGCACAUACGACAUAUAUACCUGCCAUAUUGUUUUCGAUGUGGGUGGAAAUAAUGACUUUUAUUUUGGCAUCAAACUUGUUAACGUUGCAUUUUUACUAUGCGUUGAAUCAGUACAAAUUAUUUGCCGUGUUUUUACUUUUUAACUAAGACUUGUGAUUUGUUAGUGAAGGAUAAACAUUUGACAAAGUCGUUAAACACAUGCAAGUAGAACAUUCUAGAUAUAAUGCAUUUUAUAAUCGACAGUUGACUAUAACAGCAUUCCUAGCUAUAAGGAUGAUGUCUUCGUGUCAUUAACAAUGAAUCACUCUGUUAGUAAGUGCUUUCUGUUUAACAGAAAUGGUAUUUCAUUUUUUAUUAAAAUACCAAGCCAUUCAAUGUGUGUGUACUGGCUGUACAUUUGAUGUACACAAUGAUGUAAACACAUUUAACAGAACUACUUAUGAACAAUUAAAUAGUUUCUUUAAAUUAAUAUGAAAAUCAUAUGAAAGAUGGAUUGAAUCGUCCUUAACUCAUUAAUUUAUGACUUAAAUCGCUAUAUCGAUAAUCUAAAAUCAAAAAUAAUUUAUAAGGACCUUUUUUGUUUUCAUAAUCAUUCUACAUUGAUCAUUUCACGAACUGAAUACAUGACCUCGACUGUCGAUAUCUCGCAAAUUCAAUGACCUACCGAAAACGAUGAAUUUUGUUACAUGAAUAAAGGGCUGAAUAUAUGCCAUUGAAAUUCCAUACUAUUUCUAUACAAUCGUUUCAAUUUAACGUGAUUGUCUAUGCGAUCAAAUAUUAAACAUAUCAACAGCAAUAAUUCGACCUUUAAGCUCAUGCUCGUUAAAGAGUGUUAGUAUGAUUUGGAAUGGAAUACAAACGUUAAAAUGAAGCUUAGUAUACUUUAACUAUUGAUUUUAAUGCUUUAUUAAUAUUGUGGAAAUCAUGCAAAUCACUACCCUACAUUUAGACAUGUAUGCUGAGUGUAUGUCAUAUUGUAUUGUGAUUAAUGUAUUUUAUAUGAGCAAUGCUGUUGAGAGUUUGUCAUGUUCAUACAAUAACAUUUAUCUCUGACAAACAAAUGUGUAUACGACUCUACAGUUGACUUACGAUUUUGAUGUGAUAUUUUAGCAACAUUAAUGGUUAAUUGUAUGCACGUUCUUCAUUAUUGAAAUCGAAACAGCAUCUGAAUGCAUGUAACUAACUUGAUUUUUACAUAUAUUUAAAACAUGUGUUAUUUAUAGUCUAAUGUUAUAAUGUUUCAAGAUUUAAAAAUACAUUCUGGAUAUUUUUCUUAAAUUCUGAAUACAGGAGAAACGUGUGCAUGUAUUCUAAUCAUAAACCUAUUCAUGAUAAUGUUCAUGUUUGUCAUGUUCGUUUCAAAGUAUACCUUGACAUCAAUUUUGUAUUAUUUUUUCAAUGAAAAUUAAUACUCUGAUUAGUACCAGUCGUAGACAUCAAGUUCGUUCAAGUCUUAUAUCAUUUGUUUGGGUGCUUAAAUUAUAAAUUGUAUGUUUGCUUGAUCAUUGUACUUGUUUUAUAACUGAUAUUGCAGGUAAUAAUGUUGUGUUUAAUUUCCAUGUAAUUGUGAUUUGUCCAUAUGUGUCAAAUAUAUCAUUGUUUUUUUAAUAUUUUUAUUUUUGCAUUAAAACGUCUUUGUAAAGAGUCUUUCAUAUCGUUAUUUGACAUCAAUUAGAAUAACAAAUAACGAAUCAUCCCAAACACAUAGGCAGUUAUAAUAGCUUACACCCUGUUUAUAAAUUGUUUUAUUAAUUAUUUCAAAUGAUGACAGUUGUAACCUUUUUAAUGAACUAACUGUGCAUCCUACCUGUCGAAUACAUUUUUUUUUCCUGUUGUGAUUUGGUGUUAGUUAGUGUUAUUGAAUACAAUGAAAUGUGUGAUCGCCUGGUAAAUAUUCAACACUUUGUUCCUUGCAUAUGUUUAACUACGCAUAACAAUGUCGUUUAUGGAAUAUUGAUGUGGUUAAUUAAUGACAUUUGAUUAUACGGUUAAUAUUUGCAAAUUCACUUACAUAAAGAAGUACCUUGAAAUCACAAUCAUAAAAACCUUUUUACAAUAUAAACAUUAGUUGUAUUUAUAUUCUCUGGCAAUAUAUUUGAUGUCAGGGGCAAAUACAACAUACUACAAUAUUGUAGUGCAAGGCCAAAGUCGUUCACACAAUAAGCUCAGUAUUCUCAUACUGAUUUCGCAACACAUAUUCAAUGUUUCCAUCGAGUAUAGUUUAAAGUGGAUUUUUACCCGGCAUGACCCAAUUUAGAUUUUAAAGGUAUCAUUUACCAUUAACCAUUAUUGUUCUGGGCAAGUGCCCUGGGUUUGAGUAGGUAUGUUAAUUGUAUUUCGUUCAGAAGCCUUUUCUGCAUUCGGAGCUAAAGAUUAAAAACACCCAGCUGGAAAUACAAAUAAGUAAAUCACACUGAUAAAUAUUAUUGCUCCUUCCCACGAAGCAUUUGUUGAACACGACUAUAUGUAAGUCAUAUAUAUAUAUAUAUAUAUAUAUAUAUAUAUAUAUAUAUGUAUAUCAACUGUAUAUCCAUGGACAAUGCUCUUUUCAACAUAAACCCCGAGUAACUUGUAACCAGUAGCUUUAUGACUCUUGUUCAGUGUCAAAGUAUCUGAUGAUCUUUUAAUAUUUGAUUUGAAUACCUGCAGAAUAUAAAUGCGUUCAUGCACUAUAUUUGAACAAACUGAUUAUACUUUCUUAAAACGGUUUGUAACACUAUAUCUUUUAUUUAUUUUUCUUAGGGUCUAUGGAAUUUGCUCAUUUAUAAAAUAAGCAGAUAAGCACACAAUUUCUCCCCCCCCUCCCCUCAAAGCAAGAUUAAAGUACUUAAUUGGUUGAGAUCGAACAUGCGUUGGAUAGACUUAAUUAGUUAUGACGCCAACAACAUAAAGCAAUUGUAGGUGAAAUACUUUGGAGGCCAUCUGCCGAGAAAGAGGCAACUUUCGCAAACGUACACCUAAAUAAAAAGGAAAUACAUAAGUGGCAAACAUACAUAUAUUAAUGGUCGUAUGCACUGUGAAAAGCUCGAACGCUAAUGUACAGGUACUCAAACGGCAACCAUUAUUCACCAGUACGUCCUUGGGGAGUGUUAUCAUACAACACCCUUGAAUUUGCAAUCAUUUAAUUAUCGUAUCUUCGGGGAUCGAGGUUCUUUA